rnacentral:tRNA from 2 species
GCCGAAGUGGCGGAAUUGGUAGACGCAGCGGAUUCAAAAUCCGCCGCCCUUAAAAGCGUGUGGGUUCGAUUCCCACCUCCGGCACCA